AGUAGCCACGGGAAUACAGAGGGUGCGAGCGUUAAUCGGAUUUACUGGGCGUAAAGCGUGCGUAGGCGGCUUCUUAAGUCGGAUGUGAAAUCCCUGAGCUUAACUUAGGAAUUGCAUUCGAUACUGGGAAGCUAGAGUAUGGGAGAGGAUGGUAGAAUUCCAGGUGUAGCGGUGAAAUGCGUAGAGAUCUGGAGGAAUACCGAUGGCGAAGGCAGCCAUCUGGCCUAAUACUGACGCUGAGGUACGAAAGCAUGGGGAGCAAACAGGAUUAGAUACCCCUGUAGUCCCUGUCUCUUAUACA
rnacentral:rRNA from 1 species